rnacentral:rRNA from 1 species
UACGUAGGGGCGCAAGCGGUUGUCCGGAAUUAUUGGGCGUAAAGAGCUCGUAGGCGGCUUGUCACGUCGGAUGUGAAAGCCCCGGGGCUUAACCCCGGGGUCUGCAUUCGAUACGGGCAGGGCUAGAGUGUGGGUAGGGGAGAUCGAAUUCCUGGUGUAGCGGUGAAAUGCGCAGAUAUCAGGGGGGAACACCGGUGGCGAAGGCGGAUCUCUGGGCCAUUACUGACGCUGGAGGAGCGAAAGUGUGGG